rnacentral:misc_RNA from 1 species
UACGUAGGGGGCGAGCGUUAUCCGGAUUUACUGGGCAUAAAGCGCGUGUAGGCGGUUUUUUAAGUCAGAUGUUAAAUUCCUCAGCUUAACUGAGGCCCGCAUUUGAAACUAAAAAACUAGAGGUCAGGAGAGGAAAGCGGAACUCACGGUGUAGCGGUGAAAUGCGUAGAUAUCGUGAGGAACACCAGUUGCGAAGGCGGCUUUCUGGCCUGAAUCUGACGCUGAGAUGCGAAAGCGUGGGGAGCAAACGGG